GACAGAGGAUGCAAGCGUUAUCCGGAAUGAUUGGGCGUAAAGCGUCUGUAGGUGGCUUUUUAAGUCCGCCGUCAAAUCCCAGGGCUCAACUCUGGACAGGCGGUGGAAACUACCAAGCUGGAGUACGGUAGGGGCAGAGGGAAUUUCCGGUGGAGCGGUGAAAUGCGUAGAGAUCGGAAGGAAGCCGGUGGCGAAAGCGACGUGCUGGACCUUUUCGACGCUGAGGCGCGAAAGCCAGGGGAGCAACGGG
rnacentral:rRNA from 1 species